rnacentral:rRNA from 1 species
CCUACGGGGAGCAGCAGUGGGGAAUAUUGGACAAUGGGCGAAAGCCUGAUCCAGCCAUGCCGCGUGUGUGAAGAAGGCCUUCGGGUUGUAAAGCACUUUCAGUGGGGAAGAAAGCCUUGGGGCUAAUACCCUCGAGGAAGGACAUCACCCACAGAAGAAGCACCGGCUAACUCCGUGCCAGCAGCCGCGGUAAUACGGAGGGUGCGAGCGUUAAUCGGAAUUACUGGGCGUAAAGCGCGCGUAGGCGGUCUGAUAAGCCGGUUGUGAAAGCCCCGGGCUCAACCUGGGAACGGCACCCGGAACUGUCAGGCUAGAGUGCAGGAGAGGAAGGUAGAAUUCCCGGUGUAGCGGUGAAAUGCGUAGAGAUCGGGAGGAAUACCAGUGGCGAAGGCGGCCUUCUGGACUGACACUGACGCUGAGGUGCGAAAGCGUGGGUAGCAAACAGGAUUAGAUACCCCAGUAGUC